rnacentral:rRNA from 1 species
UACCAGCACCCCGAGUGGUCGGGACGAUUAUUGGGCCUAAAGCAUCCGUAGCCGGUCAUGCAAGUCCUCCGUUAAAUCCACCUGCUUAGCAGAUGGGCCGCGGAGGAUACUACAAGACUAGGAGGCAGGAGAGGCAAGCGGUACUCAGUGGGUAGGGGUAAAAUCCGUUGAUCCAUUGAAGACCACCAGUGGCGAAGGCGGCUUGCCAGAAUGCGCUCGACGGUGAGGGAUGAAAGCUGGGGGAGCAAACCGG